rnacentral:snRNA from 1 species
GGGCGCGGCGGUCGCUGCA